rnacentral:tRNA from 1 species
GGGGCUGUGGCAUAGCAGUUGUGCAUUUGCCUGGCAUGUGUAAGGCUCUGGGUUCAAUUCUCAGCACUGCCU